UGUUAUGUGGCUUAGUUGGUUAAAGCGCCGGUCCAGCGAAUACGGAGUCGUGGGUCCGAAUCUCACCAGAACGC
rfam:Aedes albopictus isolate Foshan contig74987, whole genome shotgun sequence.